rnacentral:rRNA from 1 species
CCUACGGGAGGCUGCAGUGAGGCAUAUUGGUCAAUGGACGAGAGUCUGAACCAGCCAAGUAGCGUGAAGGAUGACUGCCCUAUGGGUUGUACACUUCUUUUAUAUGGGAAUAAAAUGUUCCACGUGUGGGAUUUUGUAUGUACCAUAUGAAUAAGGAUCGGCUAACUCCGUGCCCGCAGCCGCGGUAAUACGGAGGAUCCGAGCGUUAUCCGGAUUUAUUGGGUUUAAAGGGAGCGUAGGUGGAUUGUUAAGUCAGUUGUGAAAGUUUGCGGCUCAACCGUAAAAUUGCAGUUGAAACUGGCAGUCUUGAGUACAGUAGAGGUGGGCGGAAGUCGUGGUGUAGCGGGGAAAUGCUUAGAUAGCACGAAGAACUCCGAUUGCGAAGGCAGCUCACUGGACUGCAACUGACACUGAGGCUCGAAAGUGUGGGUAUCAAACAGGAUUAGAUACCCCAGUAGUC